GGUGGGGUAAUGGCCUACCAAGGCGAAGACGCUUAGCUGGUCUGAGAGGAUGAUCAGCCACACUGGGACUGAGACACGGCCCAGACUCCUACGGGAGGCAGCAGUGGGGAAUAUUGGACAAUGGGCGCAAGCCUGAUCCAGCCACGCCGCGUGAGUGAUGAAGGCCUUCGGGUCGUAAAGCUCUGUGGGGAGGGACGAACGGCGCCAUGAAGAGUGGCGAUUGACGGUACCUCCUUAGCAAGCACCGGCUAACUUCGUGCCAGCAGCCGCGGUAAUACGAAGGGUGCAAACGUUGCUCGGAAUCAUUGGGCGUAAAGCGCACGUAGGCGGCUUUCUAAGUCGGAUGUGAAAUCCCUCGGCUUAACCGAGGACGUGCAUCCGAAACUGGGAGGCUUGAGUAUGGAAGAGGGUCGCAGAAUUCCCGGUGUAGAGGUGAAAUUCGUAGAUAUCGGGAGGAAUACCAGUGGCG
rnacentral:rRNA from 1 species